AGUCUUAAUAGGGCGAAUUAGUUGCAGGGCAUAGACCCGAAACCGAGUGAUCUAUCCAUGAGCAGGUUGAAAGUGCCGUAACAGGCACCGGAGGACCGAACCCACUGUCGUUGAAAAGCCAGGGGAUGACUUGUGGAUAGGGGUGAAAGGCUAAUCAAACUCGGUGAUAGCUGGUUCUCCCCGAAAGCUAUUUAGGUAGCGCCUCGGACGAACACCAUUGGGGGUAGAGCACUGUUUCGGCUAGGGGGUCAUACCGACUUACCAAACCGAUGCAAACUCCGAAUACCGAUGAGUGAUAUCCGGGAGACACACAGUGGGUGCUAACGUCCAUUGUGGAGAGGGAAACAACCCAGACCGCCAGCUAAGGCCCCAAAUUCCUAGUUAAGUGGGAAACGAGGUGGGAAGGCAUAGACAGCUAGGAGGUUGGCUUAGAAGCAGCCAUCCUUUAAAGAAAGCGUAAUAGCUCACUAGUCGAGUCGGCCCGCGCGGAAGAUGUAACGGGGCUCAAACUAGGAGCCGAAGCUGCGGAUUUGAAUUUGUUUUCAAGUGGUAGGGGAGCGUUGUGUAAGCCUGUGAAGGUGUGUUGUAAAGCAUGCUGGAGGUAUCACAAGAGCGAAUGCUGACGUGAGUAACGAUAAUGCGAGUGAAAAGCUCGCACGCCGGAAGAUCAAGGGUUCCAGUCCAACGUUAAUCGGGGCUGGGUGAGUCGACCCCUAAGGCGAGGCCGAAAGGCGUAGUCGAUGGGAAAUCGGUUAAUAUUCCGAUACUUGUUUAUAAUGCGAUGGAGGGACGGAGUAGGUUAUGUCAGCCUGGCGUUGGUUGUCCAGGUGAAAGGAUGUAGGUAGACAGUUUAGGCAAAUCCGGACUGUCAUUAUACUGAGAUCUGAUAGCAAGCUGUACUUGUACAGCGAAGUGGCAAAUACCAUGCUUCCAGGAAAAGCUUCUAAGCAAUAGUUAUAAACGAAUCGUACCCUAAACCGACACAGGUGAUCAGGUAGAGAAUACCAAGGCGCUUGAGAGAACUCUGCUGAAGGAACUAGGCAAAAUGGUACCGUAACUUCGGGAGAAGGUACGCU
rnacentral:rRNA from 1 species